AAUAGAUACCCGGGUAGUCCAUGCCGUAAACGUUGGGCGCUAGAUGUGGGGACCAUUCCACGGUUUCCGUGUCGCAGCUAACGCAUUAAGCGCCCCGCCUGGGGAGUACGGCCGCAAGGCUAAAACUCAAAGGAAUUGACGGGGGCCCGCACAAGCGGCGGAGCAUGCGGAUUAAUUCGAUGCAACGCGAAGAACCUUACCAAGGCUUGACAUAUACGAGAACGCUCUAGAAAUAGAGAACUCUUUGGACACUCGUAUACAGGUGGUGCAUGGUUGUCGUCAGCUCGUGUCGUGAGAUGUUGGGUUAAGUCCCGCAACGAGCGCAACCCUCGUUCUAUGUUGCCAGCGGUUCGGCCGGGAACUCAUAGGAGACUGCCGGGGUCAACUCGGAGGAAGGUGGGGAUGACGUCAAAUCAUCAUGCCCCUUAUGUCUUGGGCUUCACGCAUGCUACAAUGGCCGGUACAAAGGGCUGCAAUCCGUAAGGUGGAGCGAAUCCCAAAAAGCCGGUCUCAGUUCGGAUUGAGGU
rnacentral:rRNA from 1 species